rnacentral:hammerhead_ribozyme from 1 species
AUUCCGCUGAUGAGUCCCAAAUAGGACGAAAUGUGCAUCCUGGAU